rnacentral:rRNA from 1 species
UACGGAAGGCAGCAGUGGGGAAUAUUGCACAAUGGGCGCAAGCCUGAUGCAGCCAUGCCGCGUGUAUGAAGAAGGCCUUCGGGUUGUAAAGUACUUUCAGUCGUGAGGAAGGUGUUAAGGUUAAUAACCUUAGCAAUUGACGUUAGCGACAGAAGAAGCACCGGCUAACUCCGUGCCAGCAGCCGCGGUAAUACGGAGGGUGCGAGCGUUAAUCGGAAUUACUGGGCGUAAAGGGCACGCAGGCGGUUAAUUAAGUUGGAUGUGAAAUCCCCGGGCUUAACCUGGGAAUGGCAUUCAAGACUGGUUAGCUAGAGUCUUGUAGAGGGGGUAGAAUUCCAUGUGUAGCGGUGAAAUGCGUAGAGAUGUGGAGGAAUACCGGUGGCGAAGGCGGCCCCUGGACAAAGACUGACGCUCAUGUGCGAAAGCGUGGGGAGCAAACAGGAUUAGAUUACC